ensembl:lncRNA
AUGAAGUUAUGUUGUGCUUUUACAGAUGUCUUACUGUUCUGUCAGAAAAGAAUCUUUGGAGAAGAAGUGGAGAUGAAAGUCAGACCAGGAGACAACAUCACUCUCUACUGUGAUCGCUCUGUAACCCUUGGUUCCAAAAUUGUAUGGAUAAGAAACUGCUCUCAUGAAAAUCAGCCUUCUCUCAUAAUAGAUUAUAAGAAACUGUACCUGGAGAUAUUUCAGCGAUUCAGCUUUAUCCACAACCCUUACAGUAAAUCCUACGAUUUACAUAUUACUAACAUCAGUGUCUCUGAUCUGGGACUGUACUACUGUGCAAAACUAGAGAAUAAUAUAAGGAAAGAUGCAAAAGGCAUCAUUUUCUCAUCAGAAGUGUACUAUUAUGGAAACCAAACUCGUCUCUCUCUGAAAGUUGAGCAAGUAUCUUCCUGUUCUGGACCCUUGAAUACUACCUCAAUACCACCUCCUGUAUCAGACUGUGUGCUCUGCUGGACGCUGCUGUUCAGUGUGUGUCCAGUGUGUGUUCUCCUUUCCUCCAUCUGUGUGUACUGUGUCUGUUGUAAGAAAACUACAGAUGCUGUGACAGAUCAGAAAGACAAGUUAAAAGGUAGAAACAGAGCUGAGUGCAUGGAUGAAGAGGUGUGUUAUGCAUCUUUAGAUGUGACCAUCAAGAGACAAAAACAAUGCAAGAAAAAGCGAGUGCAGAGUUCUGACUUCAGUACUUACGCUCAGGUCAGAACACAGACUGAAUAGACGUAAACAGAACAGAGGUGGAUUCUGAAACUUUCCAAAUAUAAGGAAAUCUGCAGGUUUUAUUGUCAUGUAACAUCACAUGUAAUCGUACAAGGUAGAGGACUUUUUAUUAUUACAUUUGAAAGUAAAAUAUAUGUAAUUACAUACUUGGAUACCUUUUACAUUGAUAUUUUUAUGAGCUAAAAAAUUCUAACCUGAAUUGUUACUCUGGUACUCAUUUUUUUCCCACCUCUAAUAGAAGUGUGUUAGUACAGUCUUUGUGGAAACACAGUGAUGAUCUGAAUAACAGGAUGUGCAAGUAGGUUACCUUUGUGAAGUGGUGUUUAGUUUAAGGUGUGUAUAUUUUUCUUAAACUGAAUGACUGCAACAUCUAUCUAACUCAUUUUUACAAUUAGCCCAGUUUCUCCAAAACACACUAUAUGCUGAGUAGGAUAGCGUGUUUGGAUAACAGCUUGUGACAAUCAAAUAGCAGGCAGUAUUAAAACUAUCUUAAUACUAUAAAGAAAAAAGAUGCCCACAUUAGUUACUCCUCAGUAGUAAUAUACAUUCUUUGUUUUUAUUUUUAUUACUUUCCUUCAGACUGAUGCAUGUUAGAUCUGCCUGUUUACUAACUGAGCAUUUGAUUUUGUUGAACAGUUAAAAUCAAAUUAAAAUCAAAGUAAAUUUGAAUAAAAUAUUCAAAGCAUCAGAGUUUCUUUUCAAAGGGGUUUCCAUUCAGUUUAGUGCUUGUGUGCUUAUGAGAGAAAUAGGAAAAGAAAUAGGUAGGACCCCAGUCAGCAAAUAAAUCUGGCAUUCAUCCAGCACUGGCAUACAGCAUGUGGGCCAAACAUGGCCCGGGUUUGGCAGAGAUGGCACUGGGUUAAAGACGGCACCCAAGACAUGGACCAGAUAUCAAAUGGAGUAUAUUUGGCCCAGAUGUCAAAUACAGAUAUGUUGGUCAUAUUUGUAUGGCCGAUCUUGACCCACAUUUAAAACCCAUUUCAAAUAUUUUUGAGUAAAAUCCCAAUGUUUUCCCAUACAGAAAGGUAAUAUAUUCGCAUAUAUGUGAAACACUGUAAAAUAUAUUGAAAUACAUUUUGAAAAUAUAUUUUUAAAAUGCAUAACAUAAAUCUCAUGUUGCGUAUUUAUGUGUGUUUACAUGUGAAAUUAUAUUCAUGCCUCAUAUAUGAUAGGCUAUUAUAUGAUGUAUGCUAUUAUAUCUUAUAUCGUAGAAUAGUAUAUCCUGUUAUUAUAUAUAUAUAUAUAUAUAUAUAUAUAUAUAUAUAUAUAUAUAUGUGUGUGUGUGUGUGUGUGUGUAAAUAAAACUGACUUCAAACAAUGUUUUGUAUUCACUGCUUUCAUAUUCUCAUUCAGUUUACAGUUUGAUGUAGCCCUAUCCCCUUAAACAAUACAUGAUGAAGUUUCAGGACAUUUUAUUUGACUUUAUGUACACACAAACAAAUUUGGCCCAGAUUUUGCACA